rnacentral:rRNA from 1 species
AUGUGUUGUCAUGAGCAGGAGAGUCCUUAUCAUAGCCUAUUGUCAUGUGAUCAUGCGAGACGUUUUUGGGAGGCUGCCCUGGUUCAGUUCAACAUCAAAAGCAUCCAAACUACACUCGUACACAUGGUCAAAAGAUAUGCUGGAUGUAAAGAUGAUCCCAAGCAUGACGAGGCAAUCACGAUCAUGGUAAUGUGGGCAAUUUGGCAUUCGAAAAAUAAGUUCGCGCACGGUGAAGAGCAGUGGCCGCCGCACAAAUCGAUGAUCAUCAUCGAUGAUAUUGUGCGUGCCCUUGAGGUACCGGCACCUGAAAUAACACAAGAAGGUGUAGUGCAGGUAAAGUGGAAACCGUCGAAAGCUGGGUGGGUUGAGAUCAAUGCUGAUGGAGCAACCGAUUUAGGCCGAUGGCGAGGGGGAAUUGACUUUAUUGGCAAAGACUACUCUGGAACCUUUGUGGCAGCGGCAGGAGCGAGAUACGAUGGUAUUCUAGUUUCUAGCCCCUCUCACCGAUAA